AAGUCAUAACAAGGUUUCCGUAGGUGAACCUGCGGAAGGAUCAUUAAUGAUGCCCUCAAAGUCUUUGGACUGGUAGGGUUGUGCCGGUCUCUUUUGGGAGCCGGCCUUAUCUCACACACCGUGAACUGUGGCUUCGGCCAUUACACAAACAAUUAGUAAUGAAUGUAACAUCAUAACAAAAUAAAACUUUUAACAACGGAUCUCUUGGCUCUC
rnacentral:misc_RNA from 1 species